AUUGAACGCUGGCGGCAGGCUUAACACAUGCAAGUCGAGCGGAGAUGAGGUGCUUGCACCUUAUCUUAGCGGCGGACGGGUGAGUAAUGCUUAGGAAUCUGCCUAUUAGUGGGGGACAACAUUCCGAAAGGAAUGCUAAUACCGCAUACGUCCUACGGGAGAAAGCAGGGGAUCUUCGGACCUUGCGCUAAUAGAUGAGCCUAAGUCGGAUUAGCUAGUUGGUGGGGUAAAGGCCUACCAAGGCGACGAUCUGUAGCGGGUCUGAGAGGAUGAUCCGCCACACUGGGACUGAAACACGGCCCAGACUCCUACGGGAGGCAGCAGUGGGGAAUAUUGGACAAUGGGGGGAACCCUGAUCCAGCCAUGCCGCGUGUGUGAAGAAGGCCUUAUGGUUGUAAAGCACUUUAAGCGAGGAGGAGGCUACUGAGACUAAUACUCUUGGAUAGUGGACGUUACUCGUAGAAUAAGCACCGGCUAACUCUGUGCCAGCAGCCGCAGUAAUAC
rnacentral:rRNA from 1 species